AAGGGCGAGGAAAUCUUCCGUGUCGAGUACUCAUCUAGAAGUAUUCGUGGGUUUGAAGAGUAGUCAGAAGAGUACCUGGUUUUACCCUUCAAAAGUCAUCAGAUCAGGAGUAAGUGUGUGGUGGAUAGCUUAGUGGGGACCGUUGAGCGAACACCAGUUGGUUAUCAUGUAAAUAGUUUUUCUG